rnacentral:misc_RNA from 1 species
GAUGAAGAACGCAGCGAAAUGCGAUAAGUAAUGUGAAUUGCAGAAUUCAGUGAAUCAUCGAAUCUUUGAACGCACAUUGCGCCCGUCAGUAUUCUGGCGGGCAUGCCUGUUCGAGCGUCAUUACGCCCCUCAAGUCCCCUGUGGACUUGGUGUUGGGGAUCGGCGAGGCUGGUUUUCCAGCACAGCCGUCCCUUAAAUUAAUUGGCGGUCUCGCCGUGGCCCUCCUCUGCGCAGUAGUAAAACACUCGCAACAGGAGCCCGGCGCGGUCCACUGCCGUAAAACCCCCCAACUUUUUAUAGUUGACCUCGAAUCAGGUAGGACUACCCGCUGAACUUAAGCAUAUCAAUGCGGAGGA